rnacentral:tRNA from 1 species
CAGGGUAAAGCUUUAAAGUAAAGUAUAUCAUUUACACUGAUUUUAGUUCUGUGCAAUUCAGGGUGCCUUGA